UACGGAGGGAGCUAGCGUUGUUCGGAAUUACUGGGCGUAAAGCGCACGUAGGCGGCUUUGUAAGUUAGAGGUGAAAGCCCGGGGCUCAACCCCGGAAUUGCCUUUAAGACUGCAUCGCUUGAAUCCGGGAGAGGUGAGUGGAAUUCCGAGUGUAGAGGUGAAAUUCGUAGAUAUUCGGAAGAACACCAGUGGCGAAGGCGGCUCACUGGACCGGUAUUGACGC
rnacentral:rRNA from 1 species